rnacentral:rRNA from 1 species
CAGCCCUAAACGAUGCGCGUUAGGUGUAUCGGUGACCACGAGUCACCGAGGUGCCGAAGGGAAACCGUGAAACGUGCCGCCUGGGAAGUACGGUCGCAAGGCUGAAACAUAAAGGAAUUGGCGGGGGAGCACCACAACGGGUGGAGCCUGCGGUUUAAUUGGACUCAACGCCGGGAAGCUCACCGGAUAAGACAGCGGAAUGAUUGCCGGGCUGAAGACCCUGCAUGACCAGCUGAGAGGAGGUGCAUGGCGUAGUCGUGU